rnacentral:ncRNA from 2 species
UAGUUAUCAAGAGUAUGGCGAGAGUAUUGGCUCAAUGACCCAUCAGCAACCUGCAGAAACAAGGUGCUAAAUCCAACCAAAUAGUGGAAACACUAUAUGGAAAGAUAAGAC